rnacentral:rRNA from 1 species
AUGGAGGAGGAACCGUCCGCCAAGCGUCAUCAUGCCGAGACGUCGGACAAGAGCAGCAACCUCGUCAACAUUCACGUCCCCGGCGAGAAGCGCGAGUACACAACAACCCUCAAAGAGGUUGAGCUCCACGGCAACGAGACGCUGGAGAUCGUCUGCACCAGCGUACCAGAAAAGGUCGACGAGGUGAUCUCCAGGCUCUGGAGGAAGCUUGGCGGCAGGAGUUCGAAUCGUAGGAUCUUCGGCGUUGGUGUGCACUACACCAACGAAGAUGAACCUCCCCAGAUGGUAGCAGUCCUGCAGUUGUGCGUCGACGACCUCUGA